rnacentral:rRNA from 1 species
GACGAACGCUGGCGGCGUGCUUAACACAUGCAAGUCGAGCGGUAAGGCCCUUUCGGGGUACACGAGCGGCGAACGGGUGAGUAACACGUGGGUGACCUGCCCUCAGCUCUGGGAUAAGCCUGGGAAACCGGGUCUAAUACUGGAUAUGACUCCAUGACGCAUGUUGUGGGGUGGAAAGCCUUGUGCGGCUGAGGAUGGGCCCGCGGCCUAUCAGCUUGUUGGUGGGGUGAGGGCCUACCAAGGCGACGACGGGUAGCCGGCCUGA